rnacentral:rRNA from 1 species
AUUGAACGCUGGCGACAGGCCUAACACAUGCAAGUCGAGCGCGAAAGUCUUCGGAUGAGUAAAGCGGCGAACGGGUGAGUAAUGCAUGGGAAUCUGCCUGGUAGUGGGGGACAACGUCUCGAAAGGGACGCUAAUACCGCAUACGCCCUACGGGGGAAAGGGGGGGAGUCUUCGGACCUCUCGCUAUCAGAUGAGCCCAUGUCAGAUUAGCUAGUUGGUGAGGUAAAGGCUCACCAAGGCGACGAUCUGUAACUGGUCUGAGAGGAUGAUCAGUCACACUGGAACUGAGACACGGUCCAGACUCCUACGGGAGGCAGCAGUGGGGAAUAUUGGACAAUGGGGGGCAACCCCUGAUCCAGCCAUGCCGCGUGUGUGAAGAAGGCCCUAGGGUUGUAAAGCACUUUCAGUGGGGAGAAAGGGUUAUUCACCUAAUACGUGAGUAGAUUGAUGUUACCCACAGAAGAAGCACCGGCGUAACUCCGUGCCAGCAGCCGC